UGGCGGCAUGGCCGAG
rnacentral:tRNA from 3 species